UCUUAUCCAAAUCCGCUUGACAAGAAUAGGGUAGAGUGCAAAUUUUGUAAAAAAUCAUCUACUGUUGGCAUCAUCAAAUUGAAAAACCUUUGGCUAGCAUUAGAGGGGAUGUGGCCCUAUGCACUCUAGUGCCAGCUGAUUCUAGGAGAGAGAUGAUAGAGCACUUGGAGGCGGUGAAAAGCAAGAGAGAGGAGGUGAGAAAAAGCCAUUAUGUUUUAAAGAGUGUAGACAUUUUUGGCGUUCAAGGAGAGGAAGAAGGCGUUUAUACUGAGGUUGGAUCUUCUAGUAGGCCGAAAAGAAGAGGUCAUAUGUAUGCGUUCUUCCUUCGCCCUGAGCUUGAGAUUCUUCCACAAGAAAAGGGUCAAACAAGUUUAAAGACCUAUUUUAAAAAAGAAGAUAGAGAUAAGGUGGCCCAAUAUGUGGCCAGGUGGUUCUUCCAAGCUGGCAUUUCUUUUAAUGCUGCUAACUUGAGUAGCUUCCAGAUUAUGUUGGAAGCAGUUAGCCAGUUUGGGCUAGGUUUUAAGGCUCCAUCUGCUUAUGAGCUUAAAGGGUCAUUACUUAAUAACGAAGUGGAGCUAACGAAUAACUAUUUGAGGACCCACUGGGAUGUGUGAGGUGUAUAUGGUUGCACAGUCAUAAUUGAUAGUUGGAGUGAUAAGAGGAGCAUAAGCAUUAUAAAUUUGAUGGUGAAUUGUCCAUUAAGGAUAAUGUUCUUGAGGUUUAUUGAUGCUUCUGACAAGUCCUUUGAUGCAAAAUUCAUUUUUAAUUUGGUGGACCAAUGCCUAAAGGAGAUAGGGGACGAGCAAGUGGUCCAAGUAGUGAUUGAUAUGUUCCUAGCUAAUUUUGACGGCCGUUAGGUUAUUGAUAGGUCGCUUAUUUUGUGGUCCCCUUGUGUAACAUACUGCAUAGACCUUAUUCUUGAGGCCAUUGGUAAGAAGAAAACAUUCAAGACAACCAUCCAAAAGGUGAAGAAUGUCAAAGUUUAUUUAUACAGUCACACUCAGGUCUUAGCCAUGAUGAAGAAAUUUACCAAUGACAGAGACUUGGUGAGGCCUGGGGUGACUAGAUUUGCCACCUCCUACUUACCCUUGUAAUCUUUAUAUGAGCAGACGAAAAAGUUGAGGUCCAUGUUUGUAUCUGAGGAUUGGACCAAGUUCAAGUGGUCUAGGUACGUUGUUGAAAAAGUUGUUAUGGAUAUUGUUAUGGACUCCAGAUAUUGGAACAAGGUCCAAUAUGCCUUGUACGACUUUUGCCCUUUGGUAAAGGUUCUCAAGAUGGUUGAUGCUGAGUAGAAACCAGCUAUGGGGUAUAUCUAUAAAGCGAUGUAGGAUGCAAAGGAAGAAAUCAACAAAAUUUUUGGGCAUGAUGAAAAGAAGUAUGAGGAUUGUUUGAAGAUUAUUUGAAGAUAAAUGAAACUACCAGCUUGAGAGGCCCCUACACUCAGCAGGAUACUGCAUUAACCUUCCUCACUUCUACACAUAUCUUGAGUUACAUAGCAGGCCUGAGUUCAUGGAUGCAUUCAACCUAUGCAAUUUAAAGCCCAACCUUUAUCCUGAAGUGAAGGAUAAGGUAAUGAUGGAGCUAGAUUUGUAUAGGCUCGCUACUGGGUUUGUUAAGGAUGUGGCAGUCAGGCAGUGGUCUAAGAUCCUUUUUGGUCCAUGGGGGAAGCACCCCUCAUUUGCGGUAGAUGGCCAUGAAAAUACUUAAUUUGACUUGCAACUCGUCUGGAUGUGCAUACAACGAAGAGGAACAGACUAGAGCAUAAGUGAUUGAACGACCUAGUCUUUGUUCAGUAUGAUCAGAAGUUGCAAGAGCGCCAUUGAUAGCAGGAGCACAAUGAAAGGGAAGCUAUUGAAGCUGUUGAUAUUGAUGACACGUGAGUGGCUAGUUUAUGCCGGUGAUGAUGAGGUAUUCCCUGGAGAAGGCUUGACCUGAGGCCAGGUUUGUGAGGCUGUUCGGAUGGCAAUGCCCCUUGUGCGUACUACUUGGGCUCAAUCUCAAAGCCAAAGGAAGGGGAAGGAGAGGGCCAAGCAAGGGAAGGCAAUGGCGAAGAAGAGGAAGAGGGUAAUGAGAUCAAGAGAGGAGGAUGAACAAGAAGAAGCAUAUUCGGAGGAGAUGAGGGAUGACACUCAAUAUGUUGAGGAGGGCCUCUGAUGAUGAUGACAUGGCAUUAUCAUCAUCUGAUGCUCCUUUGGAUCCACUUAAACACCCUGCGUGGUGAUGCCAUAGAGUUGUUUGGUUGACAUUAGAGAAUUAGGGUGGUGACAUGUCACAUGUAUUUGUUUUUGUUUUUGCCUGUUGACUUUGUAUAUUAUUUCUAGACUUCUAGUUUUCUACAACGAUAUUUGGGAUUUCGAGCAUUUUGAUGUCUUACAAUCUCUUUGAGUCUUUGUAUCCGUAAACGUGUUUUGUGACUGUAAUAUUAUGUUUUCUCUUUUUCACAAGGGGUUUGGGGCUCAAAAAUUGCCUUAAAAACCCCCCAAGGCCUAAACCCUGCCCUAAGAACUCCCUUGUCCUUUUUGUUUUAGGGUGGGGGUUUGUUUUGGGGUUGGGGGGGGGAUCCCCUAUUCCUGGGAGGACGCCUAGGCGGCA